UGACCCUUAUGGGAGCUCACAUGUCAGAGGAGCAGAGUCUGAGGUCAACUUGUCUGGCCUAUCCUAUUGGAUAGAUAAAAGAAGAAGACUGUCGGAGUCUGGGAGUUUUCAUAUAUAUUGUUUUUGCCUGCUGCUAACACUUACUCACCACUAAAUGCAGCCAAGAUCCCCUGGUGCUGAGGGUAGCAGGUGUUCCACAUCUUCACUCAUCUGGAGGAGUAUAAAAAGGUGGAGCUGUCAGCACUCCAGUGCCUGAGUGUUUGCCUUUGUGGUGACUUCCAAGUCCAAGCCUCAAAGCUCCUGCAACCUUCAGCCUUGGCUCAAAGUCUCAGCUUUGAAUCCUGCUUCAGUCAGAGCUUCAAAUCCUUCAAGAAACUUACCUGGCUCAAGUACUAGCUGACGGCUCAAGCCUACCUCCUUCAGUAAGCUCACCCUGCUCACCCUCCUACUAUUACCUUCACAUGCAGCUUCCGGAAACCUCACCAGAUAACACACAAAAAUCAAACUGUCAAGACCUCACCUGAACGUUCCCUUGAGAAUUCACCACCUCUUUGGACUGACUCGCAGACUCAGCAGCUUCAUUACCGUUCUCCCAGGCUCCACAUCGUUCUUCCUCAACCAAGCUCAACCCCAACUCCAUUUGGUGUUUCCAGUCCCAGUUCCUGUUCCACUAUUCAUCCCUGUAAAAAUAAACCCUUUUAAACUUU